AAUAAACGAGUGUAAAUUUCAGAAAAGCAAUAAUGAGUCAUAUAUUGGAACUGCAGCAACUUGCUGUAAUAUUUAUACACAGUAAAUGAACACUGGUUUGCUGGUGAAACUGCUGCCGGUUCACUGGAAUUAUUUCACGGUGUAUGUUUCUAUACUGAAAUGGCAACGAGAACUCUCUUAAUGUUUUCCACGUGUGCUCACGGUCAGGACUGCCAAGACUCCAGCAUAGGCAGAAAUCUCCAAAUUUAGAAGAAAUAUGAAAAUUGUCAAUUGUGCCUUCCAUAGCUGGACAAAACAGACCCACCUCCAGCUUGAGUGCUCCUCCCCAGCAGCAGCAGUCUCCAGAUCCUCUCCUACUCCCACACUGUUGGUCACUGCCUGGGGUCAUAGAGACUCACACAUAUGGAGCCAAUCACAGUCAUCUGGAGGAUUUCCUUUUUUUACAUGCUAUUAAUGUAUGCCUGCCUCUUGCCUCAUAUAAGCUAAUGUCACACAUGUCCAGGCUGUAGCACCUUUCUGCCUAGGCUUUGAGUCGAAGACAGACCUUUUAUAAAUUCCCUUCUCCGCCGCGGAACAAGCUAAGUGGUGCGUCCUGUUACUGCUGGUGAAGGAGCCUCGCUGUUUCUACAUAAUGCAUGCCAACUGCUGGGAAAGUGAAGACCCUACAUAUGGUGUAUCCCCCCCCCAACCCCCCGUGGUCCAGUGAAAUACAACUCACAAGUUUACUUUGGUUGUGCAUGUGGAGCUGAUAAGUAUUUCACUUUUAUUAUGUUACUGCUUUUUAACUGACAAAGUUCAGAGGCCCAUCACAGCUUUUAAUAUCCUACAAGUACAAAAAAAAAAACAACAAAUUCAACGAGCACAGAGAAACUGUGCCCUACAAUGUGGGAAGGAGGAAGAAUGAGAAAUCAAACAGAUAUAGCAUGUAUUCAGCCUGGGUUUACUGUGCACAUUCUCAAGGAUGAGAGUCAAGUCCUCAGGCCCAAGGUGCAGUGCUGCAUCUCUGGUCAAUUGGGAGUCUGAGAUGAAGCACUGUAGCACGGGAAGAGGGACACUGCUACUGUAAACACACGUCGGCAUUUGUUAUGAACGUUUUAUUAGCCAGAUUUUAAUAAUAAAAUGUAGGUUAAAUACCUGAGCUACUAAUCAGAAGGUUGCGAUUUCAAAUCCCAGCACUGCCAGUUGCUAUUGCUGAGUCAUUUACACUGAGUCAUUUACUGAGUCCGAGUCAUUUACACUGAGUCCGAGUCAUUUACACUGAGUCCGAGUCAUUUACACUGCCCAUAACUUUAAUCUGUCUGGUUCAGUUAUUCGCUUGGAUAAAUGUGAAAUGUUUUACAGAUAGUAUUUACCUCUUUGUGGUAUCCUUUUGUCUAAUACACACCCUUUCUUCCCUGUCCCCGGGGUCCAGUUUUCCCAGGAAUCCCUUGGGAAUUUACAAAGGGGAUUCCUGGAAAUACUGUUCUUGGGGGUGGGGUUAGACAUCAUGAAUGUUAGUUCAAUUGUAUCAUGUGGCUAUUAUGGGAUAAACAAACAAUUUACAUGCUACUGUAGGAAAGUCUUCUCAGUAUUUUUGUUUUAAAUAUCUUGCGAUCAAAACACUAACAGAAUGUAACACUCUUAAUAAAAUUGUGAGACAAUGUCAGAAGCGUCUUACCUGGGCUAAGGAGGAAAAGAACUGGACCGUUGAUCAGUGGUGCAAAGUAAUCUUUUCACAUGAUGUCAGUGAUGAUUUGGGGUGCCGUGUCAUCUCCUGGUGUUGGUCCACUGUGUUUUCUCAAGUCGAGAGGAGAUUCUACCAGGAGAUUUUAGAGAACUUCAUGCUCCCAUCUGCUGACGAGCUUUAUGGAGGUGCUGAUUUCCUUUUCCAGCAGGACUCGACACCUGCCCACAGCGCCAAAACUUCUAGUAACUGGUUUGUGAACAUGGUAUUACUGUACUCGAUCGUCCAGCCGACUCGCCUGACCCGAACCCCGUAGGGAAUCUACGAGAGACACCAGACCCGACAAUACAGACGAGCUGAAGGCCGCUAUCAAAGCGUCCUGGGCUUCCAGAACACCUCAGCAGUGCCUCAGGCUGAUCGCCUCCAUGCCACUCCGCAUUCAAUUUGCAUUAUGGAAACUGCAUCCUAUGCUUUCACUUUACUUUAAGCCAUCAAUUAUGCAUUGAUAAAGGUUAGUAAUUGUAUUAUAACUCACAAUAAGUGUUUAUAAGGCAGCACGACGUAACCGUCAACAACAAUAUAAAAUAAUGCACUAACUGGGCCUAGAAAUAAAUCUGCUUUACCGAUAAGUCAUUACAACUAUAAUAUAAUAACAUUAUAAAAAUGCAGGCUGUAUUUUUAUAAAUACAUUAAUGGAACCAUAAGACUGACUAAUUAAAACUUAUAAAUUGGUGUAUGAUGCAUUAUGAGCAUGGGCAUUGAAAAAGCAAGUGUAUCACUUAUAAGUAAUUAUAACAAUAGUGUAAAUGUAGCUACAACUGUUAUUAUAAUGAAGUAUAGGUCUUUGUGUGUCGUUAUAAGUGUGUUUAUGGAGCAGUAAUACAUGCUUAUAAAUUAUAAAUGGGUCAAUAAUUCAUUAUAAGCAUGGGCCUCAUAGAAAGUGUUACCUUAAAUGUUGUAAAAUAAAUAAAUAAAUAAAUAAAUAAAUAAACAAACAAACCAAUCA